AUAAUAACCAGUUCCUAGUUAACACCAACUGUCCAACCGUUGUCCUCAUGGAAUACAUAAAAACCAGGUUGGGACUUGCUGAGUCAGAGCUUAUAGACCUGUGUGAUGAACGAGGAGUGCUGAAAUUCCUCUUCCUGCCCCAGAAUUCACAGCAAUCUGCUCGUGGACUGCUAAAGGCUAAAGAGUCAUUCAUUGUUUGCAUUAUUAAGCAGACCCUGCAGACUCAGAUUGACAAUCUUGAGAAAACUCGUCUGAAGCAGCUUCAUAUUGUGGAGACUCGUAUGACUUCAUCAGAGGAAAUUAAUGCUCAGACUCUGUCCACUAAAACUACUAAAAAGCGCAAGAAAGUUACACAUGCAAAUGCCCCUGAUGAAGAAGUCCAGCGCCACACAGGGGACAGGAAGAGCAGGAAUUGAACAAAAGCUCUCACAUUCGAGCAUUCAGUGUUCAUACUCAUUCUUAAUGAUGAGUCCCAGUUUAAUUCAUUCAAAUUACAGACGUGUUCAUCAGAAAUGCUGUAUUAUUUUUUACAAAUUAUUUAUCUUUUUACUAGGUGAUUCAAGUUGCUACAUUCAUUUUAUAACACACAAAACCAUAAAUCUAUCUGUCUGUCUGUCUAUUUAUCUAUCUAUCUAUCAUCUAUCUACCUCUCUGUCUGUCUGUUAUCUAUCUAUGUCUAUAUGUCUAUGUCUAUAUCUAUCUGUCUAUCUGUCUGUCUGUCUAUAUCUAUCUAUCUAUCUAUCUAUCUAUCUAUCUAUCUAUCUAUCUAUCUAUCUAUCUAUCUGUGUCUGUCUGUCUGUCUGGCUGGCUAUAUCUAUCUAUCUAUCUGUAUGUAUGUCUUUCUAUCUAUCUAUCUAUCUAUCUAUCUAUCUAUCUAUCUAUCUAUCUAUCUAUCUAUCAUCUAUCUAUCUAUCUAUCUAUCUAUCUAUCUAUCUAUCUAUCUAUCUAUCUAUCUAUCUAUCUACCUCUCUGUCUGUUUGUCUGUCUAGCUAUCUAUCAUCUAUCUAUCUAUCAAUUCAAUUCAGUUCAAUUCAAUUCAAUUCAAUUCAAUUCAAUUCAAUUCAAUUCAAUUCAAUUCAGUUCAAUUUAAAAUUGCUUUAUUGGCAUGACUGUAAAUGAUACAAUAUUGCCAAAACUUAGUAUACAUGUACAAAAGAUAAAAAAAUAAAAUAAUAAUAAUAUAGCA
ensembl:lncRNA